rnacentral:rRNA from 1 species
UACGGGGGGGGCAAGCGUUGUUCGGAAUUACUGGGCGUAAAGGGCUCGUAGGCGGCCAACUAAGUCAGACGUGAAAUCCCUCGGCUUAACCGGGGAACUGCGUCUGAUACUGGAUGGCUUGAGUUCGGGAGAGGGAUGCGGAAUUCCAGGUGUAGCGGUGAAAUGCGUAGAUAUCUGGAGGAAUACCGGUGGCGAAGGCAGCUCGCUGGGACGGUACUGACGCUGAGACGCGAAAGCGUGGGGAGCAAACAGGAUUGAGA